rnacentral:rRNA from 1 species
AUGGUCGCGUGGCCUACUCCAACAAACGCGACUGAACUUCGCGGCUUCCUCGGCCUCACCGGCUACUACCGCAAGUUCAUCGCGCACUAUGGCAUCAUCGCCAAGCCGCUCACAAGCUUGCUGACCAAGAAGGGCUUCGAGUGGACAGAGAAGGCGCAGGUGGCCUUCGAUCUCCUCAAGCGAGCAAUGGUGACCGCGCCAGUGCUCGCGCUCCCAGAUUUCGAGCGCCCGUUUGCGAUCGAGACGGAUGCCUGUGACACCGGCGUUGGCGCGGUGCUGGCACAGGAAGGGCACCCGGUGGCGUUCCUCAGCAAGGCCCUGGGGGUGCGCAACCAGCGGCUCUCAGUGUAUGAGAAGGAGUUCAUUGCCGUCAUGAUGGCAAUCGAGAAGUGGCGAGCAUACUUGCAAAGGGGCCCCUUCACCAUCAUCACCGAUCACAAGAGUCUCUGCAACCUGCAGGAUCAGCAGCUCGCCACGGACCUGCAACGCAAGGCCAUGGCCAAGCUGGUCGGACUCCAAUUCCAGUUCCGCUGCCGUCGUGGCAGUGAAAACGGAGCCGCGGAUGCUCUUUCCCGCGUGGGCGCGUCGCUGAACCUGGACGCGCUCUCCCUGUGCCAGCCCGCAUGGGUUCAGGAGGUGGCAAACUCAUACGCC